rnacentral:rRNA from 1 species
GACGAACCGUGCGAACGUUGUUCGGAAUCACUGGGCUUAAAGGGCGCGUAGGCGGGCUGCCAAGUCUGGGGUGAAAUCCCACGGCUCAACCGUGGAACUGCCUCGGAUACUGGCGGCCUCGAGGGAGGUAGGGGCGUGCGGAACUGUGGGUGGAGCGGUGAAAUGCGUUGAUAUCCACAGGAACACCGGUGGCGAAGGCGGCAUCCUGGACCGGCAUUGACGCUGAGGCGCGAAAGCCAGGGGAGCAAACGGG